UACGUAGGGUGCGAGCGUUGUCCGGAUUUAUUGGGCGUAAAGAGCGUGUAGGCGGCCAUGCAGGUCAGCUGUGAAAACUCGAGGCUCAACCUCGAGACGUCGGUUGAAACCGCUUGGCUAGAGUCCGGAAGAGGAGAGUGGAAUUCCCGGUGUAGCGGUGAAAUGCGCAGAUAUCGGGAGGAACACCAGUGGCGAAGGCGACUAUCUGGGCUGAAACUGACGCUGAGGCGCGAAGGCUAGGGGAGCAAACAGG
rnacentral:rRNA from 1 species